UGGGGAAUUUUGCGCAAUGGGCGAAAGCCUGACGCAGCAACGCCGCGUGCGGGAUGAAGGCCUUCGGGUUGUAAACCGCUUUCAGCAGGGACGAAACUGACUGUACCUGCAGAAGAAGCCCCGGCUAACUACGUGCCAGCAGCCGCGGUAAUACGUAGGGGGCAAGCGUUAUCCGGAUUCAUUGGGCGUAAAGAGCGCGUAGGCGGCUUGUUAAGCGAGAUGUGAAAACCGGGGGCUCAACCCGCGGCCUGCAUCUCGAACUGGCAGGCUUGAGUCUGGUAGAGGAAAGUGGAAUUCCAGGUGUAGCGGUGAAAUGCGCAGAUAUCUGGAGGAACACCAGUGGCGAAGGCGGCUUUCUGGGCCACGACUGACGCUGAGGCGCGAAAGCUAGGGGGAGCAAACAGGAUUAGAUACCCUGGUAGUCCUAGCCGUAAACGAUGGGCACUAGGUGUGGGGAGCAUCAACUCUCUCCGUGCCG
rnacentral:rRNA from 1 species